rnacentral:rRNA from 1 species
AGUGAACGCUGGCGGCGUGCCUAACACAUGCAAGUCGAACGAUGAUGGAGAGCUUGCUCUCCUGAUUAGUGGCGCACGGGUGAGUAUACCAUAGAUAAUGUACCUCUUAGUUCGGGAUAGCCACUGGAAACGGUGAUUAAUACCGGAUACCCCUUCUUGUCUCAAGGCAAGUCGGGAAAGUUUUUUCGCUAAGAGAUCAGCCUAUGUCCUAUCAGCUAGUUGGUGAGGUAAUGGCUCACCAAGGCAAUGACGGGUAUCUGGUUUGAGAGGAUGAUCAGACACACUGGAACUGAGACACGGUCCAGACUCCUACGGGAGGCAGCAGUGAGGAAUAUUGCACAAUGGAGGAAACUCUGAUGCAGCAACGCCGCGUGGAGGAUGACGCAUUUCGGUGUGUAAACUCCUUUUAAGAGGGAAGAUAAUGACGGUACCUCUUGAAUAAGCACCGGCUAACUCCGUGCCAGCCGCCGCAGUAA